UGGAUAAAUUGUUAGAAGAGCAAACAGAAAGGCCAAACUCAUUAUCCAAGAAUUAUGGCAGUGAAAGGGGAUUGCUGAAUCCAAAAGGAGAGACAAGCGAUUUCGAUGUUGAGGAGACUGACCUUCUUGAUGAUGCAACAUUUCUUCAUGGUGAUGGAGACAAAGAAGAGGUUGAUAUUGUUGGUGUUGGUGUUGGUGAUGGAGAAGCGGAAAAGGUUGAUAUUAUUGAUGGAGAGGAGACCGUCUUAGAUCAAUUAGAUUCAAUUCAAAAUGAAAACAUGGUUGUUGAGGAUCAAGACGACAUGCCUGUAGAAGUUCAAAAAGUAACAAUUUAUCAGGAAAAAUACGAAGACAGUUUAGUGCUGAGAUGGAGCAAGAUUUUAUUGUUGAUAUGUCUAGCAUAGGUGAGAUGUAAAAGGAUGGCGAUGAUGGGCAACUAGAGUCUGCAAUGGGGAAAAUAGGAGCUGAAUCUGAUGUAAUUGCACAAUUCAUUCACAAAAGUGAACUUUUUGAUGCAGAAUUUAUUAGGAAUGCUUUUGAAAAAAAGAAACAUAAAGGUGUUUCAAAAAGUGUGGGUGUUAGAAGCAAGUGGCAGUAUUUGGGGAGCAAAGAUGGUGAAUUCAGCUAUUUUACUCUUAUUAGUCUCAUGGAAGAUGAAUGGGAAAUAUCAAGAUGGGAAAGGAAGAAAGUUCAGCCAU
rnacentral:misc_RNA from 1 species